rnacentral:rRNA from 1 species
CCCAGACUCCUACGGGAGGCAGCAGUGGGGAAUAUUGCACAAUGGGGGAAACCCUGAUGCAGCGACGCCGCGUGAGUGAAGAAGUAUUUCGGUAUGUAAAGCUCUAUCAGCAGGGAAGAAAAAAGACGGUACCUGACUAAGAAGCCCCGGCUAACUACGUGCCAGCAGCCGCGGUAAUACGUAGGGGGCAAGCGUUAUCCGGAAUUACUGGGUGUAAAGGGUGCGUAGGUGGCAUGGUAAGUCAGAAGUGAAAGCCCGGGGCUUAACCCCGGGACUGCUUUUGAAACUGUCAUGCUGGAGUGCAGGAGAGGUAAGCGGAAUUCCUAGUGUAGCGGUGAAAUGCGUAGAUAUUAGGAGGAACACCAGUGGCGAAGGCGGCUUACUGGACUGUCACUGACACUGAUGCACGAAAGCGUGGGGAGCAAACAGGAUUAGAUACCCCGGUAC